AAGUGAAGGAAAUUAAAUCCCCAAUAUAAUUCAAGCACAAAUAUCAUGCUUUAAAUGCACCAAUCAGCUCAUUCUUGGGCAUGAUUUUUGUAAUGUAGAUGGACUACACAAAGGCUCUAAUGAAGCUGAUCUGACUCAAAAAAGACACACAAUGGCCUCAACAACCGCAAAGAAAAUGAUGUUCCAGGACCUAUUAAAAUAAGAAAUAUAAGCUACAUCAAUUAUAAUUAACCAUCAAGAGAUACUCAUAUACAUCCAUGAUACAUGCCAUUCUUUGAUUGCUUUCAUAACACAGAAUUGAUCAAUCAAAUAAAAAAUUGAUAUCAGAGAUAAACCCAUUUACAUUUUCCUAUGCAUUGUCUCACCUUCUUUCCUUGGAGUUGCUCAUCAAACAGUAGUUGGUGCAAGAUUAUGUCUAUUAAGUUGAAUCUGUUGCAGCUGCAAGUUUUUCAAUGCAGCCCCUCCCGAUCUCCUCUUCCAAAGGGUAUCUACUUCUCCAUCUGCAGCUGGUUUAUGCACUUUCUUGAUCACAGGCAAUGGAGGAUCCAUAUCUUCUAUUCUAAUAUAAACAGAAUUCUCUUUGCUAUGAUCAAUCUUGGGUCCUCUUACACCAUUCAAGAUCACUCCUCUUCUUCUACAAGAAGUAGUAGUAUUUGGUACUGAUGUAGCAGUGGUGGCAGUGAAACUAUUCUUGGCGGAGAAGAUCCUCUUUAGCUUAGAGUAUUUGACGACAGGAGUACUAGUGUCGCUUCUGGUGAUGGUGAUCUUGUUAGAAGUGGGGAAGCCAACUAUCUUGUUGUUGUGUCUCUUGACCUGACCCAUGCAACCGAUCUUUGGCGAUAAAGGUUCACUGGAGAAGGACAUAGAUCGAUCUUCCAAUUUCGGAAGAGCCACAUCCUUGAUGGAAGUUCUUGAACAAAGCAUCGGCAAGAAUGUGGACUUGUGAUGGAGAUGCAGCUUCUGGUGGUGAUUGUAUCCAUUACCCAUCUUUCUUCUUGAUCUUCCAAGUCCUUAAUUACUCCUUAACCAGAGAGAUAUGGAGAGAGAGAGAGAGAAAGAGAGCGUACCUGUUGUCGUCGUGAAGUCGAGGUUGAGCCGUUGAGGAGAAAGCGUCUUCGUGAGGUUCGUGAGGUUGAGGAGAAAGAUGUAUCUGCUGGUGGUGGCUGCAUCAGGUACGCAGUUUAUUGACUUUUUAAUUUAAAAUUAAAAAAAAAAAAAAAACACUUGACAGUCAAAAAAAAAAAAAAUUUGGCUUAUUCUGAAGAAUUCUUUGAUUUUAAAAGGAAAUGAUAGAUAUUACUACUGCAGGAUUGGUAAAUAGCAACUCUAUAAAGCAGAAUUCAGGCAUAGAAAGCCAUUGUCAAUCAAAGGAAUACAGCUUAGAAUAUACGACCCAUAAAUUCUCCCAAAGCAUUGUAAAACAUAACAGAAAAAUAGUAUUAAGCUCCAAUUCGAUACAAUUAUCAAACAAAUAGAUAAAAGAAUAAAACUUAUUAUCUUUUCUCAGGAACCAAACAGAUAUGAGACAAGAGCAUAGCAAAACUAUAGAAAUUA
rnacentral:misc_RNA from 1 species